GAACUAUCAGUUUGGAUGCGGUGAUGAUAAAAAAAAAAUGGAUAUGCUGUAGCAAUUUUGGGCCCCUCCAACAGGCUGAAUGUUGUCCUUGUAUCUUGUUACUUUUACAUGAGUUUACCCUCAGUGCUGUGUGAUGUUUAAAGCUGGGAAGAUCUGUAAAAUAAGAAUUAAAAGAAGAUGAACUCAAAUAAAGUAUAUUCUGUUAUUGACAUGUUUUUCUCUUUUCUAUACAGAAAAUGUUUUCAGACUGCUCAUUUCUAUGUGGAAGACAGCAGUUCACCUCGAGUGGUCCCUAAUGAAAGUAUUCCUAUUAUUCCUAUUCCGGAUGACAUGGAAGCCAUUCCUGUCAAACAGUUUGUCAAACACAUCGGUGAGCUCUAUUCUAAUAACCAGCAUGGGUUCUCUGAGGAUUUUGAGGAAGUCCAGCGCUGUACUGCUGAUAUGAACAUCACUGCAGAGCAUUCCAAUCAUCCAGAAAACAAGCACAAAAACAGAUACAUCAACAUUUUAGCAUAUGAUCACAGUAGGGUGAAGUUAAGACCUUUACCAGGAAAAGACUCUAAGCACAGCGACUACAUUAAUGCAAACUAUGUUGAUGGUUACAACAAAGCAAAAGCCUACAUUGCCACCCAAGGACCUCUGAAGUCUACAUUUGAAGAUUUCUGGAGGAUGAUUUGGGAACAAAACACUGGAAUCAUUGUGAUGAUUACAAACCUUGUGGAAAAA
rnacentral:sRNA from 1 species